GCAUAUCAAUAAGCGGAGGAAAAGAAACCAACAGGGAUUGCCUUAGUAACGGCGAGUGAAGCGGCAACAGCUCAAAUUUGAAAUCUGGCCUCUUUGGGGUCCGAGUUGUAAUUUGGAGAGGAUGUUUCGGGUACGGUCCGGGCUUAUAUUUCUUGGAACAGAAUGUCAUAGAGGGUGAGAAUCCCGUCUGGAGCUCGGACACGGCCUAUGUGAAACUCCUUCGACGAGUCGAGUUGUUUGGGAAUGCAGCUCUAAAUGGGUGGUAAAUUUCAUCUAAAGCUAAAUAUUGGCCAGAGACCGAUAGCGCACAAGUAGAGUGAUCGAAAGAUGAAAAGCACUUUGAAAAGAGAGUUAAAAAGUACGUGAAAUUGUUGAAAGGGAAGCGCUGGCAACCAGACUUGCAUGUCGGGGUUCCCCCUUGCUUUUGCCUGGGUUACUCCCCGGCGUUCAGGCCAACAUCGGUUUCGGGGGUUGGUUAAAGGCCCUAGGAAUGUACUUACCCUCCGGGGUAAACUUAUAGCCUAGGGUGUCAUGCGACCUCCCGGGACCGAGGAACGCGCUUCGGCUCGGAUGUUGGCGUAAUGGUUGUCAGCGACCCGUCUUGAAACACGGACCAAGGAGUCUAACAUCUAUGCGAGUGUUAGGGUGUCAAACCCUUACGCGGAAUGAAAGUGAACGGAGGUAGGAAGCCGUUAGGCUGCACUAUCGACCGAUCCUGAAGUUUACGGAUGGAUUUGAGUAAGAGCAUAGCUGUUGGGACCCGAAAGAUGGUGAACUAUGCCUGAAUAGGGUGAAGCCAGAGGAAACUCUGGUGGAGGCUCGCAGCGGUUCUGACGUGCAAAUCGAUCGUCAAAUUUGGGUAUAGGGGCGAAAGACUAAUCGAACCAUCUGGUAGCUGGUUUCUGCG
rnacentral:rRNA from 1 species